AGAGUUUGAUCCUGGCUCAGAACGAACGCUGGCGGCAGGCCUAACACAUGCAAGUCGAGCGCCCGCAAGGGAGCGGCAGACGGGUGAGUAACGCGUGGGAACGUGCCCUUUGGUUCGGAAUAUUCCCGGGAAACUGGGAGCAAAACCGGAUAAGCCCUUCGGGGGAAAGUUUACGCCAAAGGAUCGGCCCGCGUUAGAUUAGGUAGUUGGUGGGGUAACGGCCUACCAAGCCUACGAUCUAUAGCUGAUCUGAGAGAAUGAUCAGCCACACUGGGACUGAGACACGGCCCAGACUCCUACGGGAGGCAGCAGUGGGGAAUCUUGGACAAUGGGCGCAAGCCUGAUCCAGCCAUGCCGCGUGGAUGACUGAAGGCCCUAGGGCUGUAAAGUCCUUUCGACGGGGACGAUAAUGACGGUACCCGUAGAAGAAGCCCCGGCUAACUUCGUGCCAGCAGCCGCGGUAAUACGAAGGGGGCUAGCGUUGUUCGGAUUUACUGGGCGUAAAGGGCGCGUAGGCGGAUUUUUAAGUCGGGGGUGAAAUCCCGGAGCUCAACUCCGGAACUGCCUUCGAUACUGGAAGUCUGGAGCACGGUAGAGGUGAGUGGAAUUCCGAGUGUAGCGGUGAAAUGCGUAGA
rnacentral:rRNA from 1 species